UGGGGAAUUUUGGACAAUGGGCGAAAGCCUGAUCCAGCAAUGCCGCGUGUGUGAAGAAGGCCUUCGGGUUGUAAAGCACUUUUGUCCGGAAAGAAAUCCUUGGCUCUAAUACAGUCGGGGGAUGACGGUACCGGAAGAAUAAGCACCGGCUAACUACGUGCCAGCAGCCGCGGUAAUACGUAGGGUGCAAGCGUUAAUCGGAAUUACUGGGCGUAAAGCGUGCGCAGGCGGUUUGCUAAGACCGAUGUGAAAUCCCCGGGCUCAACCUGGGAACUGCAUUGGUGACUGGCAGGCUAGAGUAUGGCAGGAGGGGGGUAGAAUUCCACGUGUAGCAGUGAAAUGCGUAGAGAUGUGGAGGAAUACCGAUGGCGAAAGGCAGCCCCCUGGGCCAAAUACCGACGCUCAUGCACGAAAAGCGUGGGGAGCAAAACAGGAUUAGAUACCCUGGUAGUCCACGCCCUAAAACGAUGUCAACUAGUUGUUGGGGAUUCAUUUCCUUAGUAACGUAGCUAACGCGUGAAGUUGACCGCCUGGGGGAGUACGGUCGCAAAGAUUAAAAACUC
rnacentral:rRNA from 1 species